rnacentral:tRNA from 1 species
GGAAAGGUGGCAGAGUGGUUGAUUGCACCAAUUUUGAAAAUUGGCGUGACUUGUGGUCACCGAGGGUUCAAAUCCCUCCCUUUCCG